AAAAACAUUCUCUUCUCCACUGAAUGUAAUAAGAGAGAUCUACAACAAGUUUAGGUAAUUCAUUAGUUUUCUCCUAUAUGUUUCUGAAAUGUCUUGUUUCUUUUUCUAUUCAAAGUCUGAUGUGGAUAAUGAUGUGAAUAAUGUAUAUUUUGCCUUCUGACAAAUAGCUAAAAGUCUGGAGUCUGACUUCAUGUACCUUAAACUGGGGCUCCCGAGCGGUCUAAGGCAUUGGAUCUGUGCUUGAGGCGUAAACAAGAAUUUGUUCUUAACUCACUUGCCUAGUUAAAUAAAGGUAAAAAAAUAAAUAAACUGAGCCUCCUGACUGGAUCGGUUGGGAUUAAUGUAAACAGACCGGACAUUACUCGUCUUCUAAAACAAGAAUGCACUCUGUAAUGUGAUACUUGCAUGGCAGUUAUACCCAUAUGAAUAUGAUAUAGUUUUUAUUGACAUUUAUUUUUCCACCAGAUGAGACUAAUGAAUGAUUUUCAGAAGGAAGUGACAAUCUUUUGGAUUCGCCACCCACAAAAGUGAGAUGUUCUCUUUUACAGUAUAUUCAGUAAUCAGCACUUGCAAAGUAAUAGUUUAGUCUAAAAUGUAAUUUGAUAUCCUCUUUGUCUCACUAGGUACAUGGAGGAGAUAAUAGAGUACUUUCUCCCUCCUGUCCUUACACCCUGAACACGGAUUAGAGACACGAGGGUCAGAGAAAGCCUUGCACCUCAUUGCCUUACUGGAUAUCAAAGCCACCUGGUUUAAUAGGUGGAUGGUGUGCACAAUAUAAACCUAGCUUCUAUUAACACUACAAGAAACCAACCCCCCCGCCCAUAAGUAGGCUAACUAAUUGUCAGUGCUGAGUGAAGAUGAUGUCAGUCCUGUCUCCUACAGCAGGACCGUGGUCUACAGGCGUCUGGAGAUGAAGUACAAGUCUCUGAUUGUAGCAGCUCUUCAGCAGUGUAUCUAUUGAGUCCUGUGACCCAUUCAUAGACGAGACGGGUGAGGUCAUCCACUCUAUCGAGAACCAGCACAUCAGUGAGUUCAACUUUAAUCUACACAGGACGAAAGAUAUAUACAAAAUAAUUGAUGUACACAACUGUACACAAUUCUGAGCACCAGUUUUGACUCGUGAGUGCUACUUUCAAAAUUACUGGCUGAAAAUAUACAAAACCUUUGUAGUGUCAGAACUGC
rnacentral:lncRNA from 1 species